rnacentral:rRNA from 1 species
CACGUAGGGGGCAAGCGUUGUCCGGAUUUAUUGGGCGUAAAGAGCUCGUAGGUGGUUCGGUAAGUCAGGGGUGAAAUCCUGGAGCUCAACUCCAGAACUGCCUUUGAUACUGAGAAGCUUGAGUCCGGGAGAGGUGAGUGGAACUGCGAGUGUAGAGGUGAAAUUCGUAGAUAUUCGCAAGAACACCAGUGGCGAAGGCGGCUCACUGGCCCGGUACUGACGCUGAGGUGCGAAAGCGUGGGGAGCAAACAGG